CUGGCGGCGUGCCUAAUACAUGCAAGUCGAGCGGAAAUUUAUGGUGCUGCACCUUAAAUUUAGCGGCGGACGGGUGAGUAACACGUGGGUAACCUACCUUAUAGAUUGGGAUAACUCCGGGAAACCGGGGCUAAUACCGAAUAAUACUUUUUAACACAUGUUUGAAAGUUGAAAGACGGUUUCGGCUGUCACUAUAAGAUGGACCCGCGGCGCAUUAGCUAGUUGGUGAGGUAACGGCUCACCAAGGCAACGAUGCGUAGCCGACCUGAGAGGGUGAUCGGCCACACUGGGACUGAGACACGGCCCAGACUCCUACGGGAGGCAGCAGUAGGGAAUCUUCCACAAUGGACGAAAGUCUGAUGGAGCAACGCCGCCGUGAGUGAAGAAGGACUUCGGUUCGUAAAACUCUGUUGCAAGGGAAGAACAAGUAGCGUAGUAACUGGCGCUACCUUGACGGUACCUUGUUAGAAAGCCACGGCUAACUACGUGCCAGCCGCGGC
rnacentral:rRNA from 1 species